ACAUUUUUUACCUACUCUAAUCCAUUUAAAGACCUUUUUUUCCUUCGAUUACGCGUCAGUGGGUAUCUAUUUAAUUUGAACCAAAGAUGCGACAAUGAUUGGUCAUUACCUAUUAUUACCUAUUACAUGUAUGAGCAAUAUGAUAAUGGAUACAAUUGCAUAGUCAAUUAGCCUUGAAACUUCAACUGUGUGUGUAUCCAAUUGAUUUAUUAUCAUUAAAUACGCAUUAUUUUAGGUGUACUUAAUAGGACAAUCCUUAGAAAAAUGUUUAAUGUUUAUUUGGAAUUGCCACCUGGGGAUUUCUGGGCCCAGGAGUGAGGGAGGGAUUUUUAAAAAAAUGAUGUUUACUUUUAAACUAUCAAUUUAUAAAACAACAUUUACAUAAAAAAAGCUUUUUUUAUUUUUUGCUGAUAAGAUUUUAUUAGCGGGGUGUAUUUUAAGGAGGUGGGGGAGGGGGGAUUCCAACAAACAAUGAUUUUAUUUUGGCCUAGACGUAUUCUCUCACUAAAUCUAAAAUUAAACCAAUAGAGCUCAAUAUGCAUAAUUCAUUUAACAUAGUUGUACAUUAAAGGAACCUAGACAAGAUCUAAGAUCAAAAUUUAAUUUUCGAUAUUUUAUGUAUAAAAUGGUAUACAUGCUCAUUUUAUAUGGAUGACCAAAAUUUGAAUGUUUGUAGUCAAGUUAUAAGAGAGAUACAGACGUAAGACUUUGUUGUUAUGUAAACAAAGCUCGUCUUAUAUUUGUUUACAAAUAAUGAAAACUGUGGAGUUACCAUUUUUUUGACAAAAUGACUCAUGGCAAUCAAGGUAAACUGAUUCAGUUUGUUCAUAAUUAAUAUUAUCAAAGAAAGAAAGCAACAUUUGAUUGAAAUCUAUACUAAUAAAACGAAUAUGUAAACAAUAGCUAGGCCUGCGUUUUGUUUAAAUACAUGUAACAAAUAAUUUCAAAUUCUAUAUCUUGUUUAAAACUAAAUACUUGACUUUCAAAUUUUGACAAAGCAUUAAGCCAAUGUUAACCGUUCUAAACAUUUAAAAUUUGAAAACCAAAAUUUACCAUUUUGAGCUCAAAUCGUGUCUAUGUCCCUUUAUGUUAGCUUCUCUACAAGAUAAGAAAGUCAGCCACUUGGCAAUUUUUUAAGGUAAAGAUAAAAGAUAAAAAUAUGCGAUGACUGUGGAGAGAAUCACGUGUAGCAAUGUAUGAUUGAAUCAUCAUUAUUCAAAAGAAUCGUGCAUCUCUGUCUUAUAUUGUAGUUUAUAUAUAUUCAACAAUCUAUUUUUCUUAGAAGAAAAUACUACAUGCAUCGUCAAUGCAAUGGAUCUUUGGACAAUUCUGCAAAAUGUAGUGCAUACAGAACAGAAAGUACGAAUAUUAAGAGAGUGUUUAGACUUGUACAUGAAAGUAGUGCGUCCACAUAUUUUCUAUUUCUAGUUGUUAUGUGCUAUUGUGAAACGAAUAAGAUCGACGCAGGCAUAUAUUUUGUAGGUUACUUUCAGAAAAUAUUCAAAACAAAAGAAUUUAAUUUGCUAGACAAUGUAACUCAGCAAAACUCAAAACGACUGAUGCAGAUUGCCAUUGAAAAGAUUGGAGUAUUGAAUCGUUAUUGCAAUUAAAUUUUCUAUCUUGCAAUGUGUAAACGGGUUGUGAUACAAGUUUCUUUGGAAGAUAAAUUCAAGAUUUGUAUUUAACCACGCAUGACUUUGCAGCAGACAAAAUCAAAGAUUUUGACUAAUUUUAUUAAAUCUAAACUUCUGAAAUAUUGGCUUUCUGAUGUCCUCUUAUGUUUAUUGUUUUUUAUUAUCAUUAUUUCGUUUACAGAGUAAAAUAACUGUUUGUACAAUUGUAUUUUGUAUGGUAUUGCUUACUGAAGAGUUAGGAAAUCGACCACACUAGACAAUGUAAAUGUAUCAUAUAUUUAUAAUCAAUUAAAAUCGCAAAAG
rnacentral:misc_RNA from 1 species